GGAUUGAUGAUGAAUCCAAUUCUCUGAAUAUGGUGAGUAACUCAUAAAAAGUGGCAAUCAGAGAUUC